UUUUUCGUCUUGAUGAUUUCUUGUAAGUAAUUGCUUUUUAGUUAUAUAUUCUGGUAUGUUUCUUUACAUAUAAGGUAUGGGAUGGUUGAAAUUGUGGUUGGCUGGUUUCAGUCAUCAUUGACAAGCUUCUGUACUAAAUUUUAAAUCCAAAGUCUACUUUGAAAUUUUGUUGUGUUUUCUUGGCAGUCAAUGUACCAAACCUUAAAUAAGUUAGUCAAGCAUUGAUCAGAGUUUUCGGAUUAUUUUGUGCACUCUAUCGUGCUAAUGCCAGAACCAAGCUCCGAUGAAAAAGGUUGAUGCUGUUGUUAGGUUGAUAACCAAAUUCAAUAUUUGUGAAUGCCUGGAUGUUGACAAGAUAAUAUCAGAAGUUGUCUUAAAUAAGAAUGCUUGGCAUAUGAGGAUCCAUAAAGCCAAAGGAAAAUAGUGCGGACAAAGCUGAAUGCUUAUGAUUAUUUAUCCCGGGGUAAUGUCAAUUUGUCAGGUUCAUCAAGCAUUUACUAGCUAUCAUCUGUUAUAUCUACACCUAUUCUCUGACUGUCUG
rnacentral:lncRNA from 1 species